GACGAACGCUGGCGGCGUGCCUAAUACAUGCAAGUUGAGCGCUGAAGGUUGGUACUUGUACCGACUGGAUGAGCAGCGAACGGGUGAGUAACGCGUGGGGAAUCUGCCUUUGAGCGGGGGACAACAUUUGGAAACGAAUGCUAAUACCGCAUAAAAACUUUAAACACAAGUUGUAAGUUUGAAAGAUGCAAUUGCAUCACUCAAAGAUGAUCCCGCGUUGUAUUAGCUAGUUGGUGAGGUAAAGGCUCACCAAGGCGAUGAUACAUAGCCGACCUGAGAGGGUGGUCGGCCCACUUGGGACUUGGACACGGCCCAAGCCCCUUCGGGGGGCAGCCGUAGGGGAUCUUCGGCAAUGGACGAAAGUCUGACCGAGCAACGCCGCGUGAGUGAAGAAGGUUUUCGGAUCGUAAAACUCUGUUGGUAGAGAAGAACGUUGGUGAGAGUGGAAAGCUCAUCAAGUGACGGUAACUACCCAGAAAGGGACGGCUAACUACGUG
rnacentral:rRNA from 1 species